AUGAACGCUGGCGGCGUGCCUAAUACAUGCAAGUCGAGCGAACAGACGAGGAGCUUGCUCCUCUGACGUUAGCGGCGGACGGGUGAGUAACACGUGGAUAACCUACCUAUAAGACUGGGAUAACUUCGGGAAACCGGAGCUAAUACCGGAUAAUAUAUUGAACCGCAUGGUUCAAUAGUGGAAGACGGUUUUGCUGUCACUUAUAGAUGGAUCCGCGCCGCAUUAGCUAGUUGGUAAGGUAACGGCUUACCAAGGCAACGAUGCGUAGCCGACCUGAGAGGGUGAUCGGCCACACUGGAACUGAGACACGGUCCAGACUCCUACGGGAGGCAGCAGUAGGGAAUCUUCCGCAAUGGGCGAAAGCCUGACGGAGCAACGCCGCGUGAGUGAUGAAGGUCUUCGGAUCGUAAAACUCUGUUAUUAGGGAAGAACAAAUGUGUAAGUAACUAUGCACGUCUUGACGGUACCUAAUCAGAAAGCCACGGCUAACUACGUG
rnacentral:rRNA from 1 species